rnacentral:rRNA from 1 species
UGGGGAAUAUUGCACAAUGGGGGAAACCCUGAUGCAGCGACGCCGCGUGAGCGAAGAAGUAUUUCGGUAUGUAAAGCUCUAUCAGCAGGGAAGAAGAAAUGACGGUACCUGACUAAGAAGCACCGGCUAAAUACGUGCCAGCAGCCGCGGUAAUACGUAUGGUGCAAGCGUUAUCCGGAUUUACUGGGUGUAAAGGGAGCGCAGGCGGAAGGCUAAGUCUGAUGUGAAAGCCCGGGGCUCAACCCCGGUACUGCAUUGGAAACUGGUCAUCUAGAGUGUCGGAGGGGUAAGUGGAAUUCCUAGUGUAGCGGUGAAAUGCGUAGAUAUUAGGAGGAACACCAGUGGCGAAGGCGGCUUACUGGACGAUAACUGACGCUGAGGCUCG